AGAGUUUGAUCCUGGCUCAGGACGAACGCUGGCGGCACGCUUAACACAUGCAAGUCGAACGAGAGAAGAGGAGCUUGCUUUUCUGAUCUAGUGGCGGACGGGUGAGUAACACGUGAGCAAUCUGCCUUUCAGAGGGGGAUACCGAUUGGAAACGAUCGUUAAUACCGCAUAACAUAAUUGAACCGCAUGAUUUGAUUAUCAAAGAUUUAUCGCUGAAAGAUGAGCUCGCGUCUGAUUAGCUAGUUGGUAAGGUAACGGCUUACCAAGGCGACGAUCAGUAGCCGGACUGAGAGGUUGAUCGGCCACAUUGGGACUGAGACACGGUCCAGACUCCUACGGGAGGCAGCAGUGGGGAAUAUUGCACAAUGGAGGAAACUCUGAUGCAGCGAUGCCGCGUGAGGGAAGAAGGUUUUAGGAUUGUAAACCUCUGUCUUCAGGGACGAAAAAAGACGGUACCUGAGGAGGAAGCUCCGGCUAACUACGUGCCAGCAGCCGCGGUAAUACGUAGGGAGCGAGCGUUGUCCGGAAUUACUGGGUGUAAAGGGAGCGUAGGCGGGAUCGCAAGUCAGAUGUGAAAACUAUGGGCUUAACCCAUAAACUGCAUUUGAAACUGUGGUUCUUGAGUGAAGUAGAGGUAAGCGGAAUUCCUAGUGUAGCGGUGAAAUGCGUAGAUAUUAGGAGGAACAUCAGUGGCGAAGGCGGCUUACUGGGCUUUAACUGACGCUGAGGCUCGAAAGCGUGGGGAGCAAACAGGAUUAGAUACCCUGGUAGUCCACGCCGUAAACGAUGAUUACUAGGUGUGGGGGGACUGACCCCUUCCGUGCCGCAGCAAACGCAAUAAGUAAUCCACCUGGGGAGUACGACCGCAAGGUUGAAACUCAAAGGAAUUGACGGGGGCCCGCACAAGCAGUGGAGUAUGUGGAUUAAUUCGAAGCAACGCGAAGAACCUUACCAGGUCUUGACAUCGUAUGCAUAGCUCAGAGAUGAGUGAAAUCUCUUCGGAGACAUAUAGACAGGUGGUGCAUGGUUGUCGUCAGCUCGUGUCGUGAGAUGUUGGGUUAAGUCCCGCAACGAGCGCAACCCUUACUGUUAGUUGCUACGCAAGAGCACUCUAGCAGGACUGCCGUUGACAAAACGGAGGAAGGUGGGGAUGACGUCAAAUCAUCAUGCCCCUUAUGACCUGGGCCUCACACGUACUACAAUGGCUGUCAACAGAGGGAAGCAAAGCCGCGAGGUGGAGCGAACCCCUAAAAGCAGUCUUAGUUCGGAUUGUAGGCUGCAACCCGCCUACAUGAAGUCGGAAUUGCUAGUAAUCGCAGAUCAGCAUGCUGCGGUGAAUACGUUCCCGGGCCUUGUACACACCGCCCGUCACGCCAUGGGAGUCGGUAACACCCGAAGCCUGUAGUCUAACCGCAAGGAGGACGCAGUCGAAGGUGGGAUUGAUGACUGGGGUGAAGUCGUAACAAGGUA
rnacentral:rRNA from 1 species